CGCUGGGCCCGGUGCGAGCCUUCGACCCAUUGUCCUGCAGCACGUGCCCCGUCCUCAGAGAAUAGCCCCCCUCUCCCCAACCGCGCCAAUCCCAGGACAGAGCAACACUCGCAACAAAAAGGUCUGGUCAGUCUGUGAUGGUGACCCGUAAAGUCAUUUUGCACAUCUGUUGCAGCCGACAGAAGUAGCUGGAUUGACUUUAUUCUGUCCCCCUCAUGCGUUUUGACAACACCCUGUCAUUCAGACCACCAGAAGUAACCCCCCUGAACUGGAUGAUGGGUCUACAGCAGGCAAACUGUGGGCUUCAGUUUCUAGGUGACAGUGUCAUGGUGCCGGCUACCAAUAGAAUUGGCUCUCCUCACCUCCACACUGAUACUGUCCAGAUGUCACUGCAGACCUCAUCAUAGCUGGCACUUGUUGAGACUCGUGCCUUAGAAGUAAAUCUGUCAGCGCACUGUUAAAGUCACCUGGGUUAAGUGAACACCACGAUUACAGCAAAGACUUGUGCAAGAUCAAUUAACCACUAGUCGUAGCACUCAUCCACACAUAGCAAUGGCAUGACGGCAGAAUGUCUCAAUAACAUUUAAAAAAAUUAAAAAUGCCAUAAAAGGCGGAUUCAUAUAUGUGGGCAGUCUUGCAGGGCCAAACCUGAUCUCAUAACAAAAACACACGUCUGGGGAAAUCUUAAACUUUCAGUGCUAGAUUGUGGUGAAAUAUGUCACAAAGCAGUGCUGUACCCCUUAGUCCCAUCCCUAAUUUCCUUUAGUCUGUGCUCUUUUAACAUCUGAAGUACAAUCAAUAAUACAAGCAAACAAGCUACCUAGUACAACACUGUCUAGUGCUACUGAUCAUUUUUACGCCAUAUAAUGUGGUCACCGCACACACGACGCAUAUUAUCUCCAUCCUUAAUUGGAGUUUUUUGAGGUAACUUUUCAGCCAAGCUACCAUACGUUCCAUCCAUGUGCUAAUGACAGGCUUAUUGUCUGUUAGACACCAGUGAUGAGUGCACACCCCACCCAAUUUGAACUCCACCUUCACAAGGCAUUGGAUUGGUUUUAGAAAUAUCUACUCAGUUUGUUCUCAGCAUAAUACAUCUACAACCCCACCCAUAUAUAGCCCAAAAUGUCUCAUGGUUGCCCCCAGACAACCCCUGUGAAGUGCUGCCAGUUGCAGAAUGUGACAGUGCUACACCCAGUAGUGGCACCGGGACAGCUGUAUAGGGUGGGAGCCACAAAUUUGAGGGUGGGCUAAACCUCGCUCUUGGAGACCUUCACUUCAUCUCUCUCACACACAGAUUCAGUCUCUUUUGCACAUGGAUUCUCGACCUCUUUCACAUAUUAAAUGUUCAUUCACCUUCA